AGGCCUGGGUCUGGUGGAUGUUUCCAUGUCUGCUGAGGAGCAAGUGAGGCUUAGCUUUAUCAUAUGGCUCUCCUCAAUUAGUCCCCUGAUACUAAAAUAAUACUUGAUCCACGGUGAUCCCUCCAUACACCUUCAGGAAAUUUCCUCCUGGCAGCGAGAGCGAGGGGCAGGACUCACUGGAGGUUGGUCUCCCUCUUACCCCCCACCCCUCUGCCUCACGGAAGAGUUGACCACAUCAGCAGCCGACUCCGCUUCGUCAUGUGCCUGCUCAUGUGAUGCUGGCUCUGCGGCACCUCGGCGCGUCAGCCUUUGUGACUCGGCACUCAUGGACAGACAGUGGCUCGGGGACAGGAGAGAUUUUGGAGGGGGCGGGGAGGCCAAUACACCGAGAAAUAAAAGUCGCACGAAGUA